CCUACGGGUGGCAGCAGUGGGGAAUAUUGGACAAUGGGCGAAAGCCUGAUCCAGCCAUGCCGCGUGUGUGAAGAAGGCCUUCGGGUUGUAAAGCACUUUCAGUGGGGAAGAAAGCCUUGGGGCUAAUACCCUCGAGGAAGGACAUCACCCACAGAAGAAGCACCGGCUAACUCCGUGCCAGCAGCCGCGGUAAUACGGAGGGUGCGAGCGUUAAUCGGAAUUACUGGGCGUAAAGCGCGCGUAGGCGGUCUGAUAAGCCGGUUGUGAAAGCCCCGGGCUCAACCUGGGAACGGCAUCCGGAACUGUCAGGCUAGAGUGCAGGAGAGGAAGGUAGAAUUCCCGGUGUAGCGGUGAAAUGCGUAGAGAUCGGGAGGAAUACCAGUGGCGAAGGCGGCCUUCUGGACUGACACUGACGCUGAGGUGCGAAAGCGUGGGUAGCAAACAGGAUUUAGAUACCCCGGUAGUC
rnacentral:rRNA from 1 species